UUAGCAUAAAGAAAGUUUCUGUGUUGUUGAAUUACUUUGAUUCCUUUCUCAGAAGGCCUUUCUGAGGAAGAGCAGAGAAACUGUUUUCAACAGGUUAUCGUUCAGCAGAAACCUCUGCAUCCUUGACCUGUUAGAUAGUUAUAAAACCAUCGCUGUGAAGACGUACAACUUGCUCUGUGUUAUCCUGUGUCUGGAACAGAAUGAUCUAGUGUGUAGAUACCAUGUGUUAUGUUAGUGAUUAGCAUUGUGAUUUACCUGUUAGACUCUUUACUCACCGUUCUUAUUUUUAAUCUUGUUUUUUAUUUGAUCAAUGCACUUUUAGCAGAUUGAGUUUUAAGAAAAUAAAUUACUCUAAAUCUCUCUUUUACAGUUUUUGACAAUCCUUGGAUGCACGUUUCCUGGGGCAGAGAACAUGAGAUACAUCUGCAUCAUGUGGACAAUUUUCAACCAGUAAAUGGAGUCAGACACAUCAGAGUUCUGCUGUAUGGACCGGUCGGUGCCGGGAAGUCCAGCUUCAUCACCUCUGUCAGUAAUGCUUUGCGAAGGAAAGUGACCUGUGAAGCUCUGGCCAGUGCUGCUAACAGUUCUGGCCAAAGGUUUUCCAAGAAGGUGAAUAUUUAUUUUUCUUUGUUUUAAGACAUGAAAUAGAAACCGUCUUGUAUCACUUAGAUAUUUUAUGGUUUUAAAAGGUAAGGUGCACACAGUCAGGGAGACUAACACAACAUGUGAGUGAUGGUUUAGUCACAGUUGAGGGAAGACAUGUCCAGACAUGCCCCAUCCUGUCCCUGUGCCUAAAGCCCAGUUCACACUACAUGAUUUUAAUAUUGUCGGCCGAUUCUCAAAACGUGAGAGACCACACACUAACGGGUUCGAUCGUAGAGUGUGAGGUUUCACUCAAGGACAUUCCAAUUCCAGAUAUGUAAUCUCUUAAAAUUCUGUGCUAUCACACCUGAAUUUAGAGUAAACAAACAUGGACAAUGAUGUUGAAGCAGUAACUUUUGUUUGUGGAUUUAUUUUAACCCAAAAAAGACGUAACCAAAAAUCAAAGCUUUGGAUUAAGAACUGGAGACGUGCGAGCAAGGACUGUAUUUAUUGCACCACAAUAUGGAGGUGAGGUGUUUUAUUCCUCAUAACAAAUACUGUUUUUAAUUUUCUCGUUUUUUCUCGUUUAAUUAACCGUUACCGUUUAGUUAUCAGUUUAUAAUUUUUUGAUGUGUUGAUGUGGUUGUAGAAUAUAUGCAUAUACUGGGCCUUCUUUCAGAAAACUGAAUGAUUGAAACAUCAGAGUAGCUUAAGCUAGAAGAAAGCAUUUCCUGCAUAUUCGUUUCUAGAAAAUCAGAUCCUUUUGUCCCCCCAACUGACCGCGAAAGGUUAAUGUAUUCCAGCUCCUUUAAUUGAAACCCGGAUGUGGAGUUAAUUGUAUUUUUUAUGGCAUUGCUUCUGAAGCCGCGCAAUAUUUUUGCAGCGCUUUGCGCUUGUCACAGUUUUCUGCACUUACAUCUUUUUUCUCUAUCUGCUCCUGUAAUUAGACUACAAAUAGAUGAACACAGCAUAACAUUUUCUGUAUGUUUCCUCUGUUGUGUUAUUACUACAGAAUGAAAUCAAAUGUAAUGUUUAAUGUAUUUCUUCAAACAUACCUUCCUUUAUUAAUCAUCUGUUUUAAUUCCAUUAUUAACCUUUGAUUUGUCUUUUUAUUAAUUUCUUGAUCUGCUUUUUGAUUACAUCAACCUUUUUAUAAUCAUACAUGAAUCAAAAUGCAAAUUGCUUGCUUUAUAAUCAUUAGAAAAUCACAUCAGUAAAUAAAAAUACAAAAUAACUUGUUUUAUAAUCAUCAGUAAAUCAAAAUGCAAGAUUACUUGCGUCUCCUCCAUCGUUUUUGAUCUGUUUUUUGCGUUAACCUGGUUUCCAUGCCAGUUUUCUCAACAUUAUCUUUUGACUUUUCUGCAUUUUGGCCUGGUUCAAUAUUUUCUGUCUUUUCUGUUACUACUACUUCUGUCAUAAUUCACCACCAAGUUUUGUUGGUAGCUCUUGUCUUAAAAAAAUCUACAAUUUCACCCACUGCCUUUUCAUUUUGUGAACAUGUCAAUAAGCCCGGCACAGUUUCAUGAAACAGAACAUGAACAUCCAAGUCAACAUUACUGAAUUUUUCACAACAAUUUAUCCCAGCAGUUGAGUAGUCAGGAUCUCGGGUGUGGUGCAUCAAAACCA